AUUGAACGCUGGCGGCAUGCCUUACACAUGCAAGUCGAACGGCAGCACGGGAGCAAUCCUGGUGGCGAGUGGCGAACGGGUGAGUAAUAUAUCGGAACGUGCCCAGUCGUGGGGAUAACGUAGCGAAAGCUACGCUAAUACCGCAUACGAUCUAUGGAUGAAAGCGGGGGAUCGCAAGACCUCGCGCGAUUGGAGCGGCCGAUAUCAGAUUAGGUAGUUGGUGAGGUAAAGGCUCACCAAGCCGACGAUCUGUAGCUGGUCUGAGAGGACGACCAGCCACACUGGGACUGAGACACGGCCCAGACUCCUACGGGAGGCAGCAGUGGGGAAUUUUGGACAAUGGGCGCAAGCCUGAUCCAGCAAUGCCGCGUGCAGGAUGAAGGCCUCGGUUGUAACUGCUUUGUUACGGAACGAAACGGUAGAGCUCUAAUACAGUUGUCUAAUGACGGUACCGUAAGAAUAAGACACCGGCUAACUACGUA
rnacentral:rRNA from 1 species